UUUAUGGAGAGUUUGAUCCUGGCUCAGAGUGAACGCUGGCGGCGUGCCUAAUACAUGCAAGUCGAACGAUGAAGCUUCUAGCUUGCUAGAGUGCUGAUUAGUGGCGCACGGGUGAGUAACGCAUAGGUCAUGUGCCUCUUAGUUUGGGAUAGCCAUUGGAAACGAUGAUUAAUACCAGAUACUCCCUACGGGGGAAAGAUUUAUCGCUAAGAGAUCAGCCUAUGUCCUAUCAGCUUGUUGGUAAGGUAAUGGCUUACCAAGGCUAUGACGGGUAUCCGGCCUGAGAGGGUGAACGGACACACUGGAACUGAGACACGGUCCAGACUCCUACGGGAGGCAGCAGUAGGGAAUAUUGCUCAAUGGGGGAAACCCUGAAGCAGCAACGCCGCGUGGAGGAUGAAGGUUUUAGGAUUGUAAACUCCUUUUGUUAGAGAAGAUAAUGACGGUAUCUAACGAAUAAGCACCGGCUAACUCCGUGCCAGCAGCCGCGGUAAUACGGAGGGUGCAAGCGUUACUCGGAAUCACUGGGCGUAAAGAGCGCGUAGGCGGGAUAGUCAGUCAGGUGUGAAAUCCUAUGGCUUAACCAUAGAACUGCAUUUGAAACUACUAUUCUAGAGUGUGGGAGAGGUAGGUGGAAUUCUUGGUGUAGGGGUAAAAUCCGUAGAGAUCAAGAGGAAUACUCAUUGCGAAGGCGACCUGCUGGAACAUUACUGACGCUGAUUGCGCGAAAGCGUGGGGAGCAAACAGGAUUAGAUACCCUGGUAGUCCACGCCCUAAACGAUGGAUGCUAGUUGUUGGAGGGCUUAGUCUCUCCAGUAAUGCAGCUAACGCAUUAAGCAUCCCGCCUGGGGAGUACGGUCGCAAGAUUAAAACUCAAAGGAAUAGACGGGGACCCGCACAAGCGGUGGAGCAUGUGGUUUAAUUCGAAGAUACACGAAGAACCUUACCUAGGCUUGACAUUGAGAGAAUCCGCUAGAAAUAGUGGAGUGUCUAGCUUGCUAGACCUUGAAAACAGGUGCUGCACGGCUGUCGUCAGCUCGUGUCGUGAGAUGUUGGGUUAAGUCCCGCAACGAGCGCAACCCCCUUUCUUAGUUGCUAACAGGUUAUGCUGAGAACUCUAAGGAUACUGCCUCCGUAAGGAGGAGGAAGGUGGGGACGACGUCAAGUCAUCAUGGCCCUUACGCCUAGGGCUACACACGUGCUACAAUGGGGUGCACAAAGAGAAGCAAUACUGUGAAGUGGAGCCAAUCUUCAAAACACCUCUCAGUUCGGAUUGUAGGCUGCAACUCGCCUGCAUGAAGCUGGAAUCGCUAGUAAUCGCAAAUCAGCCAUGUUGCGGUGAAUACGUUCCCGGGUCUUGUACUCACCGCCCGUCACACCAUGGGAGUUGUGUUUGCCUUAAGUCAGGAUGCUAAAUUGGCUACUGCCCACGGCACACACAGCGACUGGGGUGAAGUCGUAACAAGGUAACCGUAGGUGAACCUGCGGCUGGAUCACCUCCUU
rnacentral:rRNA from 1 species